rnacentral:rRNA from 1 species
GAUGAACGCUGGCGGCGUGCCUAAUACAUGCAAGUCGAGCGAACAGACGAGGAGCUUGCUCCUCUGACGUUAGCGGCGGACGGGUGAGUAACACGUGGAUAACCUACCUAUAAGACUGGGAUAACUUCGGGAAACCGGAGCUAAUACCGGAUAAUAUAUUGAACCGCAUGGUUCAAUAGUGAAAGACGGUUUGGCUGUUACUUAUAGAUGAAUCCGCGCUGCAUUAGCUAGUUGGUAAGGUAACGGCUUACCAAGGCAACGAUGCGUAGCCGACCGGAGGGGGUGAUCGGCCACACUGGAACUGAGACACGGUCCAGACUCCUACGGGAGGCAGCAGUAGGGAAUCUUCCACAAUGGGCGAAAGCCUGACGGAGCAACACCGCGUGAGUGAUGAAGGUCUUCGGAUCGUAAAACUCUGUUAUUAGGGAAGAACAAAUGUGUAAGUAACUAUGCACGUCUUGACGGUACCUAAUCAAAAAGCCACGGCUAACUACGUG